rnacentral:rRNA from 1 species
GACGAACGCUGGCGGCACGCUUAACACAUGCAAGUCGAACGGUGAAGUAACUUCGGUUAUGGAACAGUGGCGGACGGGUGAGUAACACGUGAGCAAUCUGCCUUUAAGUGGGGAAUAACAUUUGGAAACGGAUGGUAAUACCGCAUAAUAUAGACGAACCGCAUGGUUUGCCUAUCAAAGAUUUAUCGCUUAAAGAUGAGCUCGCGUCUGAUUAGAUAGUUGGUGAGGUAACGGCUCACCAAGUCGACGAUCAGUAGCCGGACUGAGAGGUUGAACGGCCACAUUGGGACUGAGACACGGCCCAGACUCC